rnacentral:rRNA from 1 species
GUAGGGAAUAUUGGGCAAUGGAGGCAACUCUGACCCAGCCAUGCCGCGUGCAGGAUGACGGCCCUCUGGGUUGUAAACUGCUUUUAUACGGGAAGAAAAAAUACUACGUGUAGUAUACUGACGGUACCGUAAGAAUAAGGAUCGGCUAACUCCGUGCCAGCAGUCGCGGUAAUACGGAGGAUCCAAGCGUUGUCCGGAUUUAUUGGGUUUAAAGGGUGCGUAGGCGGAUCUCUAAGUCAGUGGUGAAAGCCUGCAGCUUAACUGUAGAAUUGCCAUUGAAACUGAAGAUCUUGAAUGUGGUUAAAGUAGGCGGAAUGUAUCAUGUAGCGGUGAAAUGCUUAGAUAUGAUACAGAACACCGAUAGCGAAGGCAGCUUGCUGAACCAUUAUUGACGCUGAGGCACGAAAGCGUGGGGAGCGAACAGGAUUAGAAACCCUAGUAGUCC